rnacentral:lncRNA from 1 species
AGUGGAUAAUAUUGAUUAUAUAGGGAGGCCCAACAGCGGAUAAUAUUGAUUAUAUAGGGAGGCCCAACUGUGGAUAAUAUUGAUUAUAUAGAUAAUAUUGAUUAUAUAGGGAGGCCCAACAGUGGAUAAUAUUGAUUAUAUAGGGAGGCCCAACAGCGGAUAAUAUUGAUUAUAUAGGGAGGCCCAACAGCGGAUAAUAUUGAUUAUAUAGGGAGGCCCAACAGCGGAUAAUAUUGAUUAUAUAGGGAGGCCCAACAGUGGAUAAUAUUGAUUAUAUAGGGAGGCCCAACAGCGGAUAAUAUUGAUUAUAUAGGGAGGCCCAACAGCGGAUAAUAUUGAUUAUAUAGGGCAGAAAUGGAACAUCACUCUGUACUGUAACUAACUCAAGUCAGAAAGCCCUCCGCGAUAGAGCAGUACAUCAUCCGAACCCUCUCCUUGACCUAAACAACCUCCACUUGAAAUAAUAAGUCUCCCUCCCUUGUUUGGGGUAAUUUCCCUCAGUACGGAAAACACUGUCUAUUGUUCUGCUAACAGCCAGGAGGAGGCUGUGUCCCAAAAGAGCGCACUUCUUUCGACCAGGGCCGAUAUAUAUAGGACUCAGAGUCUACAGUAGUCCACUCUGCAGAG